AGAUCAUGAUGUGGGCAGCUCCUUAGUAAGCCUUUGUAUCUCUCCCACGCCUCAUAUAGUGACUCUCUAGCUUGUUUCUCAAAGUUGGUUAUGGCUUUCUUCAAAUU